rnacentral:lncRNA from 1 species
UCAAAUUUAAACACCGCCUACACAUAUUCAUAUAAAAUAUUGUUACAUAUUCAUUAUGAAAACUACAUAUAAGCAUUAAAUUUUAUGGCAAGACAGAUCCAUUGGCACCUGUAUCUCUAUCAAUAAAUUCUGUACCAGAAAUUAGCAAAAGACCAAAUAUAGAAAAACAAAACAAAAAAUUCUGGACCAAAAAUAAUAAAACAAUAAAACAUUAAAUUGAGACUGGCACGUGCGGGGGCAAACACAAGUUGCAGCUACCAGUCAGGGGCGUAGAAUUUUAGUUUAGUGAUUGAGACGGUGAAUACCGCCACGUGUCCCCAUCCUCCCAACUAACUUUCCAAAGGCUAGAAAGAAAUCUUCAAAGUUCAAAUCAAACCCUGAAAAGAGUCAAAACCCUAUGCUCAUUGCUACAUGCC